UUGCACUUUUUGAACUGGAAUGGCCCCUUCCUUAGCCACUCCCAGUAGUGAAAAUAAGUGCUACAUUAAAUCUUGUCAUAACUGGGGUUUCUUGGCAUUUUCUACCAAGAUGCUCUUUUAAAGCAAGACACAAAU
ensembl:snoRNA